rnacentral:rRNA from 1 species
UACGUAGGGCGCAAGCGUUGUCCGGAAUUAUUGGGCGUAAAGAGCUCGUAGGCGGUCUGUCGCGUCUGCCGUGAAAACCCGAGGCUUAACCUCGGGCCUGCGGUGGAUGACGGGCAGACUAGAGGUAGGUAGGGGAAAAUGGAAUUCCCGGUGUAGCGGUGAAAUGCGCAGAUAUCGGGAGGAACACCGGUGGCGAAGGCGGUUCUCUGGGCCUUACCUGGACGCUGAGGAGCGAAAGCAUGGGGAGCGAAUGGGAAUUAGAAACCCCGUUAGGUAC